GCCGCUACUCUCCGUCGAGCUCGCGUGUGCGGCGCAUCUGAUGGCCAACACAUCCAUCGUCAUUGCCUGCCCUCCUUGAUGCGACGGUGCAGCCUCGCCUCUUCCUCCCUUCUCCUCCGAUGCCUCCUCCCCGUCGGCUCCCUCUCUGGAGGCGUAGGUCACUGCCUCACGUGCGUGCCGUCUCUUGCAAACCCCUCCCCUCCCCCCUCGACCGGCGAUGACGCCGACCCUGACGAGGAGCCCAUCCCGCCCCUCCUCCAGGAACUAGCAUUUGGUGCUCCCGCAAGCAAUUUGGGCUUCUAUCUUGAUGUAAGCAACUAUCCCCUUCUCGGCUUCGAUUCAAACUCACCUGGUGGCUAAGAUUAUUUGGGUUGUCAGCAGUUAAUAACCACUAUUACCUUUAACAAUAGCAGUAAAGGAAAACCUAAAUGGUUAAUGUAGACACUUGUGUAUGUGGCUUUGCUUCAAACAGAAUAAGGCAAGCAGCAUUGUUAUGACCCCAAAAGGAUAGUUAACUAAUGUGUGAUAUAAAUAAUUUACCUUUGGAUGAUAUGCAGAGAGGGCCACUCUCAAAUAUACGUGGUUAUGAGGUAAUUCGUUGCUAUGUGAUGCAUCGUUUGGUCCUGCUCUAGUCUUGUUUUGCCUUCUUUUGCUCGGCUCAUGUUGCGUUUGGCUUGGAGACUACUGAAAUGGAAAUGUGUUGGAGCGAUUAUGUGUUGCAGGUAAAGAAACAAAUUUUCAUUUCUUUUGGCUUACUAUUAAUUGUCACUUGCGUACACAUGAUUAGGUUGGUCACGGAUUUGUGCAGCUAGCUAGCAUUGCUAAUAUUAUGUACUGCUCUAGAAAUAGAUCAAGUGAUACUUUAAUUUUUGUUCAUCUAAUGAUCUUUUGUUAUUUCCUUUUGAAUGCUUAGCCAUGCUGUGUCUCACUCGUGUGAAACUCAAGAUUUGAUAUUAGCACAUAACUCAUGAUUUGACAAACAGUUAAAUUCCUAUAUUUUAGUAUAUCUUGUUAUCUUUCUUAUUUCUGUUCCUGAACUGAACUUCACCCUUUUCUACAAAAUUAUAGGAGCAAUGCUGGUUUGGACAAAUGAUUAUGAUUGCUUAUUUAUUUUCUUGGUGUUAGAUUACUAAUGAAGAGAAAUAUAAUUAUAUGAUUUUACCAUUAUUAUCAGAUGAGGAAGUGAUAGGUUGAGAAAAUGACAAUAUUUACCUAUCUCUCAUCUCUACUGUAUUCAUCGUCACUCUGUUCCAUACACUAAGAAACGUGAAGUCUGCCGGUUGCCACUCGCGCUGCUGCUCUGCUUGGAGGCGUCGUCGUUGACUGGAGGAGCGCCGAAUCAUCGUCCUCGAGUUCGUGCGCUUCAGGAAAAAGAUGGCCCGAGGUGAGACGCCACGCAUCCGCCGUGCAAAGGUAGAGCACACACAUAUGGCAUUGAAGUAGGCAGAGUAGCUGUGUCACUUACUGAUGCUCUUAUGGUACACAGUACACUAUUAAGGUGUUGGGCCCAGAAACAGGAAGAGUAAUCCUAUUCCAAGUAAAUGAUGCCCAGAGGUGGAGGAAUUUGGAUGAUCUGUAGUCAAAGGAUACCAUCAAGCAAGAGGACGCACAAGGAGGGUCGCCCCGGAGUAGAGGCAGAGGACGUUGCCAGUUGAAUCUCUCUCUGACCUGAAGCCCACCUUGGCAUGGAUGUGACCAGUGUUGAUCCCCAACAUUGGCAAGCAUUGUAAGGUCCCUCUUCUUAUGUUUCUGGUACAAAUAUACCACAUAUAUGUUCAUAUGUAGAAGAUAAAGAUCGACUAUUAUCGGCGGUUAUUUUACUUAGUUGUAGAUACUGAAUAGUUUGUUUAAAAUUAUGAUAGUUUAAAAGAAGUAUUAUGGUGUAGUGCAGUAAUAAUUUUAAUUUAAAAUUGCAGACCUUGCAUCAUAUUUUUAUUGUGUAUGUGGGCAGUGUGUUCAAGUU